rnacentral:rRNA from 1 species
UACGUAGGGUGCAAGCGUUAAUCGGAAUUACUGGGCGUAAAGCGUGCGCAGGCGGUGAUGUAAGACGGUUGUGAAAUCCCCGGGCUCAACCUGGGAACUGCAUCUGUGACUGCAUUGCUGGAGUGCGGCAGAGGGGGAUGGAAUUCCGCGUGUAGCAGUGAAAUGCGUAGAUAUGCGGAGGAACACCGAUGGCGAAGGCAAUCCCCUGGGCCUGCACUGACGCUCAUGCACGAAAGCGUGGGGAGCAAACAGG